rnacentral:misc_RNA from 1 species
CACUUCAUUUGGUUCAACUUUGGGAAGUUUCAAGAGACACGCAUUCCAUGUUCCCAUGUCAUAGCAGCAUGUCAAUCAAUGUCAAUUAAUUAUGAGUAAUAUGUUUCAAAUUAUUAUACAUUGGAGCAAACACUUAAGUGCUAUGAGUGUCAGUUUCAUGCACUUGAACAUCAUGAUAAUUGGCCAAUAGACAAUGAUCCAAGUCUUGUGCCUAACCUGACAUGGAAAAGGUUUAAAGGAAGACCAAAAUCGUCAAGAAUGAAGAAUGAAAUGGACUGAAAUGUGAAUAGAAAAGUUUCUUCAGCGUCUAAUAUCCAUUGUUCGCUCUGUCGUGAACAAGGACACAAAAAAAAUAAUUGUCCGGAAUGAAAAAACACCAUUAUUUAAUUAUGUUACUCUUUUCACUUGCAGUAAUGUAUUGAACAAAUCAUCCAAUUGUAUUUUUUUUAUUCUCAAUGGGUGUAGGCAAGUAAUUUUAUUUGAAUGUAAUAUUAAUGUUACUCUUUUCAAAUAGUAAUAGCAG